UUUUAACAAAGAUAUUCAGCAAACCCUUAGAAUAAGCUUUGAUGCACUUGAUGACUUAAACAAGUCAUUAUUUCUUGAUGUUGCAUGUUAUUUCAGAGGGCAUGACAAAGAUUAUGUAACAAAAAUUCUAACGAGCUUUGGGUUCCAUCCUGACAGUGGAAUAGGAGAACUUAUUGAUAAUUCUCUAGUAACGGUAUUUGACAACACAUUGGGAAUGCACGACUUACUACAGGACAUGGGUCGGGAGAUUGUGCGCCAACAAUCCCUUAAAGAUCCUGGCAAACGUAGUCGGCUGUGGGACCAUGAAGAUGUUGUGCAAGUGUUGAUGCAAGAGUCGGGGACAAAACAUGUUGAAUGCAUAGUCAUAGACUUGUCUAAAACAGACGAGAGGCAUUUCAGUGCUGAUGCAUUUAUGAAGAUGAAAAAUCUACGAUUGAUUGAUGUCCAUGGUGCCUUUGGAGACCGCAAGGUGCACCUUUCUGGAAACUUCGAAUUUUUAUAUCAUGAAUUAAAAUGUCUCUGUUGGGAAGGGUACCCCCUGAAAUAUUUGCCAUCAAACUUUAAUCCAAAGAAGAUCAUUAUGAUUGAAAUGCCUCGGAGCUCCAUUAAACAACUCUGGAAAGGAGUCCUGCGUCUCGACAAGUUGCAAUUUAUAGAUCUCAGUCAUUCCCAAAGUCUAACUGAGACACCAGACUUCACGGGAGUCCCAAAUCUUGAGAAAUUGAUUCUUGAAGGUUGUACAAGCC
rnacentral:misc_RNA from 1 species